rnacentral:rRNA from 1 species
CAGCAGCCGCGGUAACACGGAGGGAGCUGGCGUUGUUCGGAAUUACUGGGCGUAAAGCGCGCGUAGGCGGUUACUCAAGUCAGAGGUGAAAGCCCGGGGCUCAACCCCGGAACUGCCUUUGAAACUAGGUGACUAGAAUCUUGGAGAGGUCAGUGGAAUUCCGAGUGUAGAGGUGAAAUUCGUAGAUAUUCGGAAGAACACCAGUGGCGAAGGCGACUGACUGGACAAGUAUUGACGCUGAGGUGCGAAAGCGUGGGGAGCAAACAGGAUUAGAGACCCGAGUAGUCCCUGUCUCUUAUAC